UUUCCGUAGGUGAACCUGCGGAAGGAUCAUUAUUGUAUAACCGAGGUGCGAGGGCUGUCGCUGACCCGAAAGGUCGUGCACGCCCGAGUGCCCUCACACACAUCCAUCUCACCCCUAUGUGCACCACCGCGUGGGUCCCCCUUUGGCUUGUUCGGAGGGGGGCUUACGUUUUCACACAAACUUUGUAUGCAGUGUAGAAUGUAUUUUUUGUUUUUGCGAUCACGCAAUCAAUACAACUUUCAACAACAGAUCUCUUGGCUCUCGCAUCGAUGAUGAACGCAGC
rnacentral:misc_RNA from 1 species